rnacentral:rRNA from 1 species
CCUACGGGAGGCAGCAGUGGGGAAUAUUGCGCAAUGGGCGAAAGCCUGACGCAGCGACGCCGCGUGAGGGAUGAAGGUCUUCGGAUCGUAAACCUCUGUCAGCAGGGAAGAACGGUCACUGUGCUAAUCAGCAGUGAAUUGACGGUACCUGCAAAGGAAGCACCGGCUAACUACGUGCCAGCAGCCGCGGUAAUACGGAGGGUGCGAGCGUUAAUCGGAAUUACUGGGCGUAAAGCGCUCGUAUGCGGUAUGUCAAGUCAAGGGUGAAAUUCCCGCGCUCAACGUGGGAACUGUCUUUGAAAAUGGCGAAAUGGAGAGUGUGAGAGGAUAGUGGAAUUCCAGGUGUAGGAGUGAAAUCCGUAGAUAUCUGGAGGAACAUCAGUGGCGAAGGCGACUAUCUGGCACAUAACUGACGCUGAGGAGCGAAAGCGUGGGUAGCAAACAGGAUUAGAUACCCCUGUAGUC